rnacentral:rRNA from 1 species
UAGGUAGGUGGUCUCAUUUGUCUGGGGUGAAAGCCUUGAGCUUAACUCAAGAAGUGCCCCAGAAACGGUGAGACUCGAGUCCUGGAGAGGGUCGUGGAAUUCCCGGUGUAGCGGUGAAAUGCGUAGAGAUCGGGAGGAACACCAGAGGCGAAGGCGGCGACCUGGACAGGUACUGACACUCAACUACGAAAGCGUGGGGAAGCAAACA